rnacentral:lncRNA from 1 species
AAGGGGGUUGGCAAUAUUGCCUAUGAGUUGCGGUUGCAUCCCAGAUUGAACCCCAUUUCCACCGAUUGUUCAUGCCUUUAUGUGUGAGGAUGUGUAGGUGAUUCUUCGAUGGUUGUUUACUUAGAGAACAUUGGUGUUUUUGGUUCCUUGACUUGUGAAAAGUUCCUAGUGAGGAUCUUAGAUCGGUAAGUUUGUCGGUUGCAAAUGAUAUGAGUGGCUUU